rnacentral:rRNA from 1 species
GACGAACGCUGGCGGCGUGCUUAACACAUGCAAGUCGAACGAAGUGGCGAACGGGUGAGUAACGCGUAAUCAACCUGCCCUUCAGAGGGGGACAACAGUUGGAAAAGACUGCUAAUAUCGCAUACAGAAGGAGGGGAUGGCGUCGGAUUAGCUAGUUGGAGGGGUAACGGGCCACAAAGGCGAUGACGAGUAGCCGGUCUGAGAGAAUGAACGGCCACCCUGGGGCUGAGACACGGCCCAGACUCCUACAGGAGGCAGCAGUGGGGAAUCUUCCGCAAUGGACGAAAGACUGACGGAGCAACGCCGCGUGAGUGAUGACGGCCUUCGGGUUGUAAAUCUCUGUUAGUCGGGACGCGGUACCGGAGUCCAAAGCCACGGCUAACUACGUGCCAGCAGCCGCGGUAAUAC